GACGAACGCUGGCGGCGUGCCUAAUACAUGCAAGUUGAGCGCUGAAGGUUGGUACUUGUACCAACUGGAUGAGCAGCGAACGGGUGAGUAACGCGUGGGGAAUCUGCCUUUGAGCGGGGGACAACAUUUGGAAACGAAUGCUAAUACCGCAUAAAAACUUUAAACACAAGUUUUAAGUUUGAAAGAUGCAAUUGCAUCACUCAAAGAUGAUCCCGCGUUGUAUUAGCUAGUUGGUGAGGUAAAGGCUCACCAAGGCGAUGAUACAUAGCCGACCUGAGAGGGUGGUCGGCCACAUUGGGACUGAGACACGGCCCAAACUCCUACGGGAGGCAGCAGUAGAGAAUCUUCGGCAAUGGACGAAAGUCUGACCGAGCAACGCCGCGUGAGUGAAGAAGGUUUUCGGAUCGUAAAACUCUGUUGGUAGGGAAGAACGUUGGUGAGAGUGGAAAGCUCAUCAAGUGACGGUAACUACCCAGAAAGGGACGGCUAACUACGUG
rnacentral:rRNA from 1 species